CAACCCUCAAGCUCUGCUUGGUAUUGGGUCUCGUCUAUUAGUGACGGGCCUUAAAAUCAGUGGCGGUGCCAUGUGGCUCUAAGCGUAGUAAUUUUCUCGCUAUAGACGUCUAGUGGAUACUUGCCAGCAACCCCCAAUUUUUAAA
rnacentral:misc_RNA from 1 species